rnacentral:tRNA from 1 species
GGGCCUCUAGCUCAGUCGGUUAGAGCAGGCGACUCAUAAUCGCUUGGUCGUAGGUUCGAGUCCUACGGGGCCCACCA